UUAACUCGAAUUUGUAUGGAGUUGGAACAUCUUCCCUUCGUUUGCCGCUAGGGCCUUUUUCCAACUCCAUACAAAUCCGAGUUA
rfam:Bombyx mori DNA, contig: Bm_scaf37_contig21869, strain: p50T/Dazao, build 2, whole genome shotgun sequence.